AUUACGCUGGCGGCUGCUUACACAUGCACUCGAACGGCAGCACGGGAGCAUCCUGGUGGCGAGUGGCGAACGGGUGAGUAAUAUAUCGGAACGUGCCCAGUCGUGGGGGAUAACGCAGCGAAAGCUGUGCUAAUACCGCAUACGAUCUACGGAUGAAAGCGGGGGAUCGCAAGACCUCGCGCGAUUGGAGCGGCCGAUAUCAGAUUAGCUAGUUGGUGGGGUAAAGGCCCACCAAGGCGACGAUCUGUAGCUGGUCUGAGAGGACGACCAGCCACACUGGAACUGAGACACGGUCCAGACUCCUACGGGAGGCAGCAGUGGGGAAUUUUGGACAAUGGGCGCAAGCCUGAUCCAGCAAUGCCGCGUGCAGGAUGAAGGCCUUCGGGUUGUAAACUGCUUUUGUACGGAACGAAACGGUGAGCUCUAAUACAGUUUGCUAAUGACGGUACCGUAAGAAUAAGCACCGGCUAACUACGUGCCAGCAGCCGCGGUAAUACGUAGGGUGCGAGCGUUAAUCGGAAUUACUGGGCGUAAAGCGUGCGCAGGCGGUUAUGUAGGACAGAUGUGAAAUCCCCGGGCUCAACCUGGGACCUGCAUUUGUGACUGCAUAGCUAGAGUACGGUAGAGGGGGAUGGAAUUCCGCGUGUAGCAGUGAAAUGCGUAGAUAUGCGGAGGAACAC
rnacentral:rRNA from 1 species